CAGGUUGGGAAGCUGUUCACACACUGAAGCAGGUAGAGAGGUGAUGCGAGCUCCGGUGAUGGUCCUGAAACCAAAGAGGUUUGGCGUCAGAGCGGAGGACAACCGUCUUACUGGAAGGUUUUAUUCUUCCUCAAUGUUUCCUCUGCCCAGUGAUGUCACAUCCUGUCAAGAUGGCGGCACGCCUUAAACUGGCUCCACAGAAACCAGUAGGUCAUAUGACCAAACACCUGUUCAGAAACCCAAACCCAAUGAAGAAAGGAUCCGGAUGCAGUUCAGCGGGACACCACUGGGGGCAGCAGAUCCAUUGUUUGGAGCAGCAGAGAUUGGUCAAACUUUCUCGUCCAGGACAGAGAUUUAAUUUCUGUUUCCUGGAUCUACCGGUGGGAACUCGACGCUCCACUAGGAAGGUUCAGGUGACAGUCUUAGAUUUCUAAACCACCUGAACUGGUUCUCCUCAUCGUGAGGAAGCAGCUCCGAUCGGACUUCCUCUUGGAUGAAAACAUCCAGAAGAACAAAUGUGAGGAGACGAAAUUCUUUGAUUUGUUCCUUACAAAGUGCGAAGCUCCGGCAGGUUCUGAAAAGCCGUCCGUCCGACAGACUGGAUCGGAUUAUCGUAGAAAAGUCUGAAAAAAAAAAGCAAAAUAAAA